rnacentral:rRNA from 1 species
CUACGGGUGGCUCCAGUGGGGAAUAUUGGACAAUGGGGGAAACCCUGAUCCAGCAAUGCCGCGUGUGUGAAGAAGGCCUGCGGGUUGUAAAGCACUUUCGGUUGGGAGGACUGCUUCUAGCACUAAUAUUGUUGGAAGUUGACGUUACCUUCAGAAGAAGCACCGGCUAACUCCGUGCCAGCAGCCGUGGUAAUACGGAGGGUGCAAGCGUUAAUCGGAAUUACUGGGCGUAAAGCGCGCGUAGGCGGCUAGAUCAGUCAGGUGUGAAAGCCCCGGGCUUAACCUGGGAACUGCAUCCGAUACUGUCUAGCUUGAGUACAGGAGAGGAGAGUGGAAUUCCACAUGUAGCGGUGAAAUGCGUAGAUAUGUGGAGGAACACCAAUGGCGAAGGCAGCUCUCUGGCCUGAUACUGACGCUGAGGUGCGAAAGCGUGGGGAGCAAACAGGAUUAGAUACCCGCGUAGUC